AGAGUUUGAUCCUGGCUCAGAAUCAACGCUGGCGGCGUGCCUCAGACAUGCAAGUCGAACGAGAAAGUUCCCUUCGGGGGACGAGUAAAGUGGCGCACGGGUGAGUAACACGUAGGUAAUCUACCUUCGGGUGGGGAAUAACGCAGGGAAACUUGCGCUAACACCGCAUAAUGCAGCGGCACCACAUGGUGACAGUUGUUAAAGCGGGGGAUUUUAGAACCUCGCGCCUGAAGAGGAGCCUGCGGCAGAUUAGCUAGUUGGUAAGGUAACGGCUUACCAAGGCGACGAUCUGUAACCGGCCUGAGAGGGCGGUCGGUCACACUGACACUGACAUACGGGUCAGACUCCUACGGGAGGCAGCAGUCGGGAAUUUUGGGCAAUGGGCGAAAGCCUGACCCAGCAACGCCGCGUGAAGGAUGAAAUCCCUCGGGAUGUAAACUUGGCAAGAAUGGGAAGAAUGAGUAGGGGCUAAUACUCCCUAUGAUGACGUACCAUGUAGUCCA
rnacentral:rRNA from 1 species